GCAUCGGUGGUUCAGUGGUAGAAUUCUUGCCUUCCCAGCGGGAGAUCUGGGUUUGAUUCCCGGGCGCAGCU
rnacentral:tRNA from 1 species